CAAACGAUUAACUAGAAAGUCGUCAUCCGAUUGGAAUAGUAAAAUUGUUCAGCAUCGCAGACAAAGUGAUGGCCACAACUGCGGACCACUCAUCUUCAAGUCUGCAGAAACGUAUUUGCAGCACAAAGACAUCAGUACGGUAGAAACAACCCAAGAGGCUAAUACUGCGUUUAGAAGACAUAUAGCAAUUCUUCUAAUGAAGGAGUCAGGUGCAGUAAAGUAAAAAUUUGAGAAAAUAUGACUCACAAAAAAGAAAAAGA